rnacentral:rRNA from 1 species
UACGUAGGGUGCAAGCGUUAAUCGGAAUUACUGGGCGUAAAGCGUGCGCAGGCGGUUUUGUAAGUCUGACGUGAAAUCCCCGGGCUCAACCUGGGAAUUGCGUUGGAGACUGCAAGGCUGGAGUCUGGCAGAGGGGGGUAGAAUUCCACGUGUAGCAGUGAAAUGCGUAGAGAUGUGGAGGAACACCGAUGGCGAAGGCAGCCCCCUGGGUCAAGACUGACGCUCAUGCACGAAAGGCGUGGGGAGCAA